AUUGAACGCUGGCGGCAGGCCUAACACAUGCAAGUCGAGCGGAUGAAGGGAGCUUGCUCCUGGAUUCAGCGGCGGACGGGUGAGUAAUGCCUAGGAAUCUGCCUGGUAGUGGGGGAUAACGUCCGGAAACGGGCGCUAAUACCGCAUACUUCCUGAGGGAGCAAGUGGGGGAUCUUCGGACCUCACGCUAUCAGAUGAGCCUAGGUCGGAUUAGCUAGUUGGUGGGGUAAAGGCCUACCAAGGCGACGAUCCGUAACUGGUCUGAGAGGAUGAUAAGUCACACUGGAGCUGAGACACGGUCAAGAGUCCUAAGGGAGGCAGCAGUGGGGAAUAUUGGACAAUGGGCGAAAGCAUGAUCCAGCCAUGCCGCGUGUGUGAAGAAGGUCUUCGGAUUGUAAAGAACUUUAAGUUGGGAGGAAGGGCAGUAAGUUAAUACCUUGCUGUUUUGACGUUAACAACAGAAUAAGCACCGGCUAACUUCGUG
rnacentral:rRNA from 1 species